rnacentral:misc_RNA from 1 species
UUUCCGUAGGUGAACCUGCGGAAGGAUCAUUAACGAAUAACUAUGGUGUCUUGGUUGUAGCUGGCUCCUCGGAGCAAUGUGCACGCCCGCCAUUUUUAUCUUUCCACCUGUGCACCGACUGUAGGUCUGGAUGACUCUCGCACUCCGGUGCGGAUGCGAGGAUUGCUCUCGGGCUCUCCUCGAAUUUCCAGACUCUACGUCUUUUUACACACCCCAAACGUAUGAUACAGAAUGUAGUCAAUGGGCUUGAUCGCCUAUAAAACACUAUACAACUUUCAGCAACGGAUCUCUUGGCUCUC